rnacentral:lncRNA from 1 species
UGUAUCUAUCAUAGGUGUAUAAUGCCUAUUAUAAUGUUAUUCUACUAUUAUUUUUACAAGUACAUAUAUUUUCAUAUCAUGUUAAAGUUCUUUUUAUGAAUAAUCUUUCUUUAUUAUAUGAUAUAGAUAGGAAGGUCUGGAAGACGCGAAUUGCGGCAGAAGAGUAGGGCCAGAUUGGGUCGCUAGUGUUGGGAAUUACUUGGUGGGGUUUUUUUUUUUUAUUUUUUAUUCCCGUUAUGAUUCCGUAUUCAGUGUUCCAUGCUUAUUACGAAUCUGUGUGCUUUCCUCUGCUUUCCUCUGUUUUAUAUUCCUUAUGGGUGCCGUAUUUAUGUUAUGUCAUCUGCUUCUGUGCUUUACUAUGUGUUUGUGUGAUAUCUUGUGCCUUGAGCCGGGAGUCUUUCGGAAACAGCCUUUCUACUUCAUCAGAGGUAGAGGUAUGGACUGCGUACAUCUUACCCCACAGACCCCACUAAGUGGGAAUACACUGGGUUUGU